rnacentral:lncRNA from 1 species
GGGCUGAGGACCUGGCCCCCAGCCCUGGUCCCCAGCUGCUCACAGAAGCCUGGUGAUUGUGGCUCGUGGGCCCAGCCCUGCCCCUGCUUGGGUCAGAAGGCUUCCUGGGCCUGAGGCCCUGGCUGACCAGCUUCCUGCCCCCUGACCUAUAACCCCCAGGGCAGCUCCGGCUGGCCAAGCCCACGAUGUCCCCAAAGCACACCCCUCAGACAAUUCCAGGAACUUGUACUCGCCCCUCACUCUGCCCGGCUGGGGGCUGAGUGCCUUCUCCUUAUCACCCCGUCCUCCUAUGGGGGCGCAGCCUCAGAGGGGCGCUCGCUCCCAGGCCCUCGGCUAAGAGGGCUGUCUGACCAGUCCCCUGCCGUCAGGGCACCAGGCCCAAGGACUCCCAAGACCUCGUCCAGGUCUGGCCUUUUGUGUCCUUCUGCAGUCCUGGGAUUGGGCCGGGGCCUUGUGCCUGCUUAGGCAGGUGCCCUGCCACCAGGUGACACCUCCAGCCCUUUUAUCUCUCAUUUGGAGACAGGGUCUCACUUCAGGCUGGCCUAGAACUUGCGACCCCCUCCUCAGCCUUCGUGUGACUGGGAUCUGGCUCAGAGGUUCCGUCUCGGGGUGGACUCUGGCCUAGCAGCAGCGGCUUCCCCAGGGGAUGUGACAGAAGUGCAAAUUCCCGGCUCCACCUGGACCUGCGAGGUCAGAGGCCUGGGUCAGAGGCCCAGCAACUGAGGCCCUCAGGGGGUCCUGUGCCAUGGGAAAUCAAGGUCUGUGCUGUCAGGAGUCUGCCAAGGCCUGGUCACCCUCCCGGGACUCCAUGUGAGGACCCAUCUAACAGUCUUGGUGGCCUCCUGCCCCCAGUGAAGGCCUGACGCAUCCGUGGCUCCGUUGAGCAUCUGAAUGCCUUUUCUCCUAGACUCAGGCUGAAUGUGUGUCCCCUGGUCACUCGGAGCCAUCUGUCCUUUACACCCAGCCAGUGAACCCCCACCCAGCACCCCCACUGCUCCAACACCCUCGGAGACUCUUCCUCUUGGACUGACUGGUGUUGGCUUUUGGUUCCUGAAACCCCAGGGGAAGAGGCCGACUUCUGUCUCCUACCCACCCAAUGGGUAGUUGCUGUGGGGCUCAGGGCUCUCAGUGUGUGUGCCGGGACCAUUUCCACCAUGGGAGUGCAGCCAAGGGCCCCAAAGCCCCUUGGGACAUGAAGAACAGGGUGCACGCCCUUCUUUUCUUCAGAAAAUGACUCAGGGCCCUGCUCACAUGUAAUAUCUUUUUGUUUGUUUACUUAUUUUAGUAACUAGUAGAAUUUAGUAACUUUUUUGUUUGUUUAGAAUAAGUUGUCCUCAGGGAGGGCUGGGAACCAAGCCAUGACAAUGAUUCCAGGAUUGGAAACAAGAACAGAGAAGUUUCAGAGGAAUAAAGAUUUUAGCUGGAAAUGAACAAAGGGGCUGCCAUGAGAGGUGGUGCGGGAUGUUCACUGCACAAGGGUGACUGGUUGGAGGAGUCAGGAGAUGGCUGAGAUCCAGAGAGAGGCCUGUGCCUCAUGUCAAGCCUGAUGCCCUAGGCUGAGAUAUGUCUGUAGGGGAGAGGGGUGAUCAUUUCUUAUUCCACAGAGCAGCCUGUGCUCCAACCCCAGCACUCGGGGCUGGUACUACGCAGAAGGAGUACCUUUUAAAAUUCACAUCUUGCGGGUGCGGUGGCGCACGCCUGUAAUUCCAAUGGCUCAGGAGGCUGAGGCUGGAGGAUCACGAAUUCAAAGCCAGCCUCGGCAAAAGCGAGGUGCGAAGUCUCAGUGGGACCCCGUCUCUAAAUAAAAUACAGAAAAGGGCUGGGGAUGUGGCUCAGCGGU